rnacentral:tRNA from 5 species
GCCGGUAUGAUGGAAUUGGCAGACGUGACGGACUCAAAAUCCGUUGGUAGCGAUACCGUGCCGGUUCGACCCCGGCUACCGGCACCA